UUCCAGCCGCCACUCUCUUCCUCCCUAUCUUCUUCACGUUUUUCUCACCACCACCGAAGCUACCUCACACCUCACAGUAACCACCGUGGCGCCAUCACGUCAGGCCGCCCCUCGCCAAGCUGAGGGCACCGAAAGAACCGCAUCGUCGUCCUCUCCAUCCCCCCCCAAAGGAAUCGAGCCGGGAGAGCUCCAAUCGACGGUGAAUUCGCCGAUUCCCCACGACGGCCGCCGAGCUCCGGUGAUGAUUUCGACGGCUCCGUUGAACCUCCGGCCACAGCGACCUAUUCCUGAGCAUCCUGAUGGUCGACGCUGGCGGCUCUCCGGCGAUCCCCUGGACUCCACACCGUCACCAUGAGGUUCCUCACGUUGAGGCGCAUCCCCGACGCCAACUUCCCCGUCCUGAUUCGCUGUGAAUCGCUGGAUUGAUUUCAGACUUGAUCUCUUUCCGUCAUGGAUGAACCUGUACAGCUCGUAUGUGUGUUUCACGUUAUCUUCUACCUGUGCUUCCCGUCCUAAA